CAGUAAAAUCUGUGACUGUAGCGAAAUAUUGUGUGGUCAGUAACAAUGGACGUAAGAAAAUGCUUCUUCCAAGGUUACAUCUUUUCAAAACAUCAAACAUGAAAUUAAUUUAAAAUUUAAAGUAAAAUAUUGCUCAAAAUGAAGACAAAGAGUCUUGGAUACUUUCUGGCAGUACAGCUUUGUAAAAUGUGUUCAUAUGUUGAUUAAUAGGAACUUCAUACAUCACGAAAAAUGACCUCAAGACUAGAUGGUAAAAAAAGAAGAAGAAAAAAAGUGUCUAAGAAAAGGGAAGAUAGGUCUGAGAAAAUGUCUAGCCAAGUGUUUUUUUUUUUUUUUCUCUCUCUCUCUAGCACAGCGGUUCUCAAUUCCAGUCCUCACGCCCCCCUGCUCUGCACAUUUUGUAUGUUUCUCUUAUGGCUUCAGGCGUUUGUUCUUUUCGAAUGUAAGUGCCCUGCUAAGUGGACAUCACAAGAUAUUCUGCCAUCAUCCAGUUCGAAGCCAACGUAUAUGUUCCAUUCAAAGUGCAUUGAAGUGUGCGAGAAGUGAAUUUAAAUUGUAUUUAUUUACCGAGGUAUAUGACACUUGUCCGUGUGUGAAGACGUUGCACAGCGCAAAUCCAUGAAUGAAUGUUCCGAAGUGAAGUUUUCCACCUGCUCUGGCAAUGAAUGCUGUGUAGGGACCAUGUCAAUGGGAACACAGUUCAUGCAUGGAGCGCACUUCUAACGAGCUGAUUAUCUGAAUUAGGUGUGUUAACAAAGAAGAGAGACAUACAAAAUAUGCAGAACUGGGGGGCGCGAGGACUGGAAUUGAGAACCGCUGCUCUAGCAGAUGCCGAUCAGUCUUGUAUCUUAUGCAGUGAAAUUCAGAUAUUUGUGAGUGUCCAAAUAUUGUUGGGGCCACUUUUUAAAAAUGAUAUAAUGUAGGCCUACCAAUGUUUCUGUAAAUUAUAGCAAGAUCACAGCAGCCCAGCAUCAGUAUGUAUGGAGGUGAGAAAAUGGGUGACGCCAUCACAGUAGAAUGUUCAACUUUCCACACGUGUCCAUACAGCAAACCAACAAUCACUCUGAACGGGAUAGCAGGAUCUGACAAAAUCAAGGAUGAAUCUAUUAAAGAUGGCCUGUUGAAAAUCACUCUGACACGCACAGGUGUCGUAAGGGCAGAAAGCUUGACUAUUACGUGUUCAGUAACACAUUAUGGUGGUAUAAAAGCGACAGCUACAGAGGUCAAAAGGUCAAAAUGUGUUCAUCAUAAAAUAACAAUUGAGCCUGAACUGGCAGAUGUCACUGAGGGUGUCGCAAAGAGCUUCACUUGUAACGUCUACCAUUCCUGCCAGAACGAGAAUCCAACCAUCACAUGGAACUAA
ensembl:lncRNA